UAUAAAUGUAAAUUUUUAGAUUAAUUGAUUAAUAGUUAUGAUCUUUAAAAAUAAAUAAUUUGGCGGUAUUUUAGUCUUUUCAGAGGAACCUGUUUUAUAAAUGAUAGUCCACGAUUAAAAAAUCUUAAAUUAGAAAUUUAUAUAUCAUCGUUAUUAAAUAUUUUUUUAGAAUUUAAUAUUUAAAAUAUAUUAUUAUGUAUUAGUUCAGAUCAUGGUAUAGUUAAUAUUUAAGUAAUAAUGGGUUACAAUAUUAAUAAAUUUGAAUUUUAAAUUUAAAAUUUAAAUGAAAUUGGAUUUGAAAGUAAUUAUUUUUUUUUUCAAUAAUGAUUUACCUCUAAAAUAUGC
rnacentral:rRNA from 1 species